rnacentral:rRNA from 1 species
GACGAACGCUGGCGGCGUGCUUAACACAUGCAAGUCGAACGGUAAGGCCCUUCGGGGUACACGAGUGGCGAACGGGUGAGUAACACGUGGGUGAUCUGCCCUGCACUUCGGGAUAAGCCUGGGAAACUGGGUCUAAUACCGGAUAGGACUCCUGGCUUCAUGGUUGGGGGUGGAAAGCUUUUGCGGUGUGGGAUGGGCCCGCGGCCUAUCAGCUUGUUGGGGGGGUAAUGGCCGACCAAGGCGACGACGGGUAGCCGGGCUCGGAGGGUGACCGGUCACACUGGGACUGAGAUACGGCCCAGACUCCUACGGGAGGCAGCAGUGGGGAAUAUUGCACAAUGGGCGCAAGCCUGAUGCAGCGACGCCGCGUGAGGGAUGACGGCCUUCGGGUUGUAAACCUCUUUCAGCUAUGACGAAGCGCAAGUGACGGUAGUAGCAGAAGAAGGACCGGCCAACUACGUGCCAGCCGCCGCCGUAAUAC